AUUGAACGCUGGCGGAAUGCUUUACACAUGCAAGUCGAACGGCAGCACGGGGGCAACCCUGGUGGCGAGUGGCGAACGGGUGAGUAAUACAUCGGAACGUGCCCGGUCGUGGGGGAUAACGUAGCGAAAGUUACGCUAAUACCGCAUACGAUCUGAGGAUGAAAGCGGGGGACCUUCGGGCCUCGCGCGAUCGGAGCGGCCGAUGUCAGAUUAGGUAGUUGGUGGGGUAAAGGCCUACCAAGCCGACGAUCUGUAGCUGGUCUGAGAGGACGACCAGCCACACUGGGACUGAGACACGGCCCAGACUCCUACGGAAGGCAGCAGUGGGGAAUUUUGGACAAUGGGCGCAAGCCUGAUCCAGCCAUUCCGCGUGCAGGACGAAGGCCUUCGGGUUGUAAACUGCUUUUGUAUGGAACGAAAAGGCUCUGGCUAAUACCUGGGGCUCAUGACGGUACCGUAAGAAUAAGCACCGGCUAACUACGUG
rnacentral:rRNA from 1 species